ensembl:miRNA predicted gene, 44482
UAGACAUGUAUUGGCUCAUGUUUCUGGAAGCAAGAAGUCCAAGAUCAAAGUGUUGGCAGGGUUGAGUUUUCUUCUGAGGCUUCUUUCUUUGGCUUGGAAAUAG